GUGAGAAGCAGCUGGUCCUUGAGGGAGGGGAGAACCAGCUGGAGGGAUGGAAGAGGAAAGUUAGGACUGAUCUGAAAGAGGUCCUUCUGAGCAGAGAGCAGGAAAAGCUUCCUGCUGAACUGAAUCAUCCAGAAGGAUCUGGAGAAAUCAGGCAAAAGUGCCUUCCUUCUCUACCUGGAUGACUCACAAUAAGAAACGGGAAAUGAAGAGCUGAGGGGAGCCGUAACAAGAAGAGGAGUCACCGGGUCUUGGGAGGGUCAUGUGAGCAAAGCUGCAGUUGGGCAAACCAUGGCAGGCUCCCCAGAGUGAUCCUGCCCCCACCCACUGGAAACCCUCACAAGAUGGCUGGAGCUGCAGUACGUGAAGUUCAGCUCUCCAGAAGAGUGGUCUGAGUGGAAUAGGAUUGGAGUGUUCACAAGAGGCAAAGAGGAUCCUGCUAGGAAUGGAAGGUGUGCUCCAGCUUUGGAACAUUGCGUAUAUGUGAGCAUCACGUACAUACAUACAAAGCUAGGAAGAAGAAUGUGCUACUGUUCAAGACCAGAGGAAGUGAAGAAAGGACAGGGCAACAAGUACAGAAGGUGAGGGCAGGCAAGCCUUGGAAUCAUUCUCAAUUCUCAUCUAGGCUUUCUCAUCUGAUUCUCUCAACAGCAGACAUGGCACCUACUGCUGGUGGACCCAACUGCUGGUCCUGGGUGACUGCUGUGCUGAGCCCAGGGUUGGUCGCUGAUGGUUGCUGGUGAAUGUGUGGCAUCCUUGGCUGAGUGAACCUCACGGCUGACUUUGCAGAGCCUCCAGAACAUUGAGCUGAUUCAAUGAGUACGGCAGAAAGCAAACGGAAUGAGAGAGGAGAGCGCACCAAUGGAUGGGCAUCCCCUCUAGCCACUUGUGAAGGAUAGCACAACUGAUCCUGCACGCUGCAGAGCAGAGAAUGAGAGAUGUUCCCACCUUAACACUGGCGUGGACAUCUUUCCUUACCUUUCCCUAUGCUUAAAGUACAGAAAUAUAAACAGUGAUGUAAACAUG